rnacentral:rRNA from 1 species
GAUGAACGCUGGCGGCGUGCCUAAUACAUGCAAGUCGAGCGAACGGACGAGAAGCUUGCUUCUCUGAUGUUAGCGGCGGACGGGUGAGUAACACGUGGAUAACCUACCUAUAAGACUGGGAUAACUUCGGGAAACCGGAGCUAAUACCGGAUAAUAUUUUGAACCGCAUGGUUCAAAAGUGAAAGACGGUCUUGCUGUCACUUAUAGAUGGAUCCGCGCUGCAUUAGCUAGUUGGUAAGGUAACGGCUUACCAAGGCAACGAUGCAUAGCCGACCUAAGGGGGUGAUCGGCCACACUGGAACUGAGCAACGGUCCAGACUCCUACGGGAGGCAGCAGUAGGGAAUCUUCCGCAAUGGGCGAAAGCCUGACGGAGCAACGCCGCGUGAGUGAUGAAGGUCUUCGGAUCGUAAAACUCUGUUAUUAGGGAAGAACAUAUGUGUAAGUAACUGUGCACAUCUUGACGGUACCUAAUCAGAAAGCCACGGCUAACUACGUG